UGGGGAAUUUUGGACAAUGGGGGCAACCCUGAUCCAGCGACGCCGCGUGAAGGAUGAAGGUCUUCGGAUUGUAAACUUCUUUUGGAGGGGAUGAAUGCCUACGUGAAAAACGUAGGGUGACAGUACUCUCUGAAUAAGCCACGGCUAACUACGUGCCAGCAGCCGCGGUAAUACGUAGGUGGCAAGCGUUACUCGGAAUCACUAGGCGUAAAGCGCAGGUAGGAGGUUUGGUAAGUCUGUUGUGAAAGCUCCCGGCUUAACUGGGAGAGGUCAACGGAAACUACCAGGCUAGAGUGCGGUAGAGGAAGGUGGAAUUCCCGGUGUAGCGGUGAAAUGCGUAGAUAUCGGGAGGAAUACCUAUGGCGAAAGCAGCCUUCUGGACCGUCACUGACUCUGAUCUGCGAAAGCUAGGGGAGCAAACAG
rnacentral:rRNA from 1 species